CAACAUUCGUCGUGUCUUCUGGAACAGUUCAUUCUUAGCAGAGUGAGAGAUAGGGUUUAGGGUUCGAGGACGAGCGAGUGGUCAUGUGAGGGACUGUUUUGAUUGUUGUGGAAAUUGCAAAUGCAAUUAUCUCGCGGACACUGGCUGCAAGUCGGAUACGCCAUUUGCAGUGUGGCAGAACGCUUGAGAUAAGUUGUUAUGGAGCGGAUUUGUAGGUGAAGAGUUGAGAAAUGUGAGGAUGAUGGAUGGAGGGGUUUUGGCAAUUGUGGCUUCUGCGAGAGUUUCUGUAGCAGCAGGGAAGUCUGCGUCCUCCACGGUGUCGUCUGCUUCGGUGGGCGGGUUACGCACCGGUUGGCAAGUGUGUUUGAACGCAAUGAAUGAGCAGUAGAGUCCUCAUGCAGUUGACAGAGAUGCAAGAUGAAGCCUGAGCAUGGCCCAGGAGUGUUUUAUUCAUUGGGGGAAUAAAAUACAAGAAUGGGGGAAUGGUGGUGCACUAUAGACUAAAACUGAGAGAUGGCGCACCAAAAGUGUGCCAUAUCAUCUGUCUAGUCUAAAUGCCUAGCCCUGCAUAUGAACCCUAGGGAGGCGUGCAUUUGGAAAGCGGUGCAGGGUUCACAUCGGGUAGAAGGUGACCCCUGGGGCCAGGGUGACCUUCUUGCAGGCGAUGGGGAAGAGGAGGUUGAGGGGAAGUCGAGGAGGGAUCGAGACUUUCAUGAGGAUCCUCCGGCCCAGCCUCCUCGACAACAAUGGGGACACGGUUGGCAUGAUCUUAGGCACCAGCACUGGUGUAAUGUUGCACCGUGGCCUCGGCCUAACGCGUGGCCUUAUGCGUGGCCUGAGCAGUUCAGCAGGCUUCGGCUCUGGCUGCACAAGAGGAUGCUCGGGAUGCGCGGGUGUCUGCAAGGCAGAGUUCGAAGCACGGGGUGGCUUCGAGUGCGCAUUGAAUUUGGGCUUGGGGUUUUUGGAGGUGUGCCUUGGAAGCUGCAUUGGCUUGGCAGGAAGGGUAGUUGCCUUCUUCUGCUUGAUUGUGGGGGCAGAGAUUAUUGUUCGUGGGGGCAAAGAUCGAGGAGUGAGGACGAUGAUGGUCCUCCUCUUGGGGGGCUGCUUGGAGAUGGGUGCCAUGGCUAGGGAGGAAACACAAGCAAGCCCAGGUCCUCUACGAAGAGAGCAAAAUAAAAACAGGAAAAUGAAGUGGAAUGAAGGUGGCAGCGCACAGCAUACCUAGUCAUAGGAACUCCUGGAGCAAAGUGGAGGGAGGAGGGCGCAAGCACUGGGAGUUCCAGUAGGAGUUGAGUAGGAGUUGCAGAAGCCGAGAGCAGCUUCAGUCCAGGGCAGCGGUUGUGGAGCACGUGGAAAGGUUGUGGAGCACACAAGCCAGCGUGGGGAGGAGGAUGGGGAAUCCAUGGGGUCUUCUUGGUCCUGAUGUGUGCCUUAUUCGUUGGCCCUCGUUCUCUGUGGGAGGCGCAGAAGCAGUGAUGAGAUUCGCGAGGGUUUGCGACAUGUCUGAUUUGGGUGAGAGAGCGAAUGGAAGCGGGAAGAAGCGACUUGGGGGAACGGCGUCUGAUAUGGGGAGUGUGAGCGAUUCCGGGUUUUGGGACGCUGUGCAUUUGGUUGGCGCUGCGUGGGUGUGUGGACGGAUUUGGAGCGUGCGAUACGGGUGCCCACGGCAUGGGCGAAACGUUUCAUCACUUACUCCACGUUUAAAAAUGUUGAGACCACCGAGACACCGAAUUAAGGCCUCAUUUUUCUUCAACAAUCAGCAUGUGCUUAGUAAUGAAGCAUUUGCGCGACGCAAUGCAGUCAGCAGGCUGAAGUGUUGGUCGGUCCCCUAUACACCAUUUUAUAACUUCUAAAGAUGGCACGGUACAGGUAUUGCUGAGCCUGGAAGAUGAUAGACUUGUCGAAGCUGUUGGUAUCCCGGUGACGUAUAGGAAAGGAGGGUCAAGGCUGACUGACUGUGUGUAAUCACAGGUUGGCUGCGCACUGAAUUGUACAUUUUGUUGCACAGGAAAAGAUGGAUUUGCACGUAACUUGAAGUCACAUGAAAUAGUUGAUCGGGCAUGUAUACUUCGUUGUGCUCCUGGUUUCAGUCUUUCUACCAAUUUUAGCCGUUGACUAUUUGUCACUGGUGGCAAGUUCAAGGUUCUCAGAAAUAUACAUUCAGCAUCAACCCACUGGUGAUGAUGUGCUUACCAGUUACUUCGUGGAAUUCGGUUUUUGCAUGUUGUUACUGCAGGUGCUUGCAAUAGAAGACUUGCUCAGGAAACCCAUGACAAAUAUGGUGUUCAUGGGCAUGGGCGAACCAUUAAUUAACCUUGGAGCUGUUUUAGAUGAUCACCUAUCGUAAACAAGGUUUGCAUCAAUCCUAUGGUUGUAACAGGGUUGAUGUGUGUUUUUUUAUACGUUGCUGAUAGUAAGUUGUGUUUGCUUAAGUUAUAAAGAACUCUCCAUCUCUCAAUCUCUUUCUCUCUCAGAGUUCGUUCCAGUAAAACUGAUGUUCUGUACAUAAUAAUUCAAGAAUCGAAAACAGCUCAGCAAAUGAUGGUAAUCCUCACCGUGGGAAUUCUAAACACCAUACGACGCCUUGCACCUCACAAGUUUCACUCAAUGCUAGUUGUUAGGUACAGAAACUUUUGGAGCCGCUUGUAUCUUCAAUUUGUUAUUAUCUAGGGUACUUUUGUACAUUGUUCA